GGGGGGGUCAAAUCAGUAUGUGGCCACCAGCUGCAUAAACUACUCCAGUGCAGCUCCUCAGAAUGCACCAGAUUUGCCAGUUCUUGCUGAGUGAUGUUACCCCACUCUUCCAGGGUCCUGAAAAAGGGUGUUUCUUUUUUGCUGAUUUUUGGUUUGCCAAGAUUGUAGCAUUUACCCCAAUAAAUCUUAAGCUGUAAUUGCUGCUCAAGGUGCAACAAAGUACUAAGUAAAGGGUCUGAAGUUAUGUAAAUGUGAUUACAUUUGCUUGGUCAUGGGUUAUUGUGUAGAUUGAGGGGGGGGGAAAUCAUUUUAGAUAAGGCUGUAAUGUAAAAAAAAAAAAAUGAGUCAAGGGGUCUGAACACCAUCUGCACUUACUUUAACCCCCAAAGAACAUGACCUAAAACAGUUAAGUGGGUAUUCACUUAAAUAAAGCAAUGUUUCAGUUUACAAUUAUACACUACACGCUGGAGUAAAGCCAGAAAUUCAUUGUCAAGGUAUCUUUAAAUAAUUUAUUCUUCAAGGAGGUUAACAGGCAUCUCUUGUGUCAUUUGUUUUUGGAGUUAUGCUCUCAUCAGGUCUCCUUAGUGUUGUGGUACAGUGGUAGUCCUGUCAAUGCUUGAGUGCUCCUUUUCAGCAUUGUUCACCUCAUCAGGAGCAGUUGUGGUGCUGAGGUCACUUGGUUGUAGGGUCAUAGGACUGGCACCACCCUCAGUGAGUGUGCUGCUUGGAGUGAGACUAAAUGCAGCCACCACACCAUUCUAUCAACAGAACAGAGUUAGGGAUAGGAAAGGGCCAUAACUGCUAUAUGAAACCACAUCUGACCAAGUCAGGCUGAUAUAUGCAAGUGAUACAGGCAAUUGCAGUGUGCAGGUCAACAUUUAUUGGGAUGAGUCUUGUCCUGGAGGCAGAACUGAAGGAUUCUGGCUUGGUGUGCCAGCUGUAAAGUCAAAAUUAAGUAUGUUGUAACAAAUGCACUUUUAGGUCAACAUUUAAGGUUAGGCAUUAGGUGUGGUUAAGGUUAAGGUGACUGUGCCAGCUAGUUAUCACUGCAGAGCCGAGUCAUCCCAAUAAAUGCUGACCUGCUUGCCAUAGUGCAGCGUACCAUGAUCCCAGACAUACCCUUUCAAUGAGUUCCAAUUGUAUAGAGACCCUUGUCAUCUCCAAGGUCUCCAGUGGGCUCAGGUGUAGGAUUCAACUCAGAGUAUGUGGUGGGCUCCAGCUCUGAGAACAGACCAUUUAGCACAGAACCUACAUGCAAUUAUCACAUGUAACAUGACCUAUUUGGGCAGUUAGAUCCUGCCUAGUAUACAUUUCAGAGCUAACGAACCCGUGCUUGUUGGGUCUGACCCUUAGGCCCACCCACAUUUUGUGAUUGGGCGAACGGUCCUGAAAUUAAAUUUAACAUAGCCAGUGUUGGCAGAAUUGCUAGCCUGUAUGAUAUGAAAAGACAAGUUUCUGAAAUGCACCCUAUUCCCUGUAGUGCACUACCUUUGACCAGCACCUCAUGGUCAAGACAUCCUGUUGCCUCCCAAUAGAGUAACUAAGUCACUACUACCAACUGGAUUCAUACAGCUAUG
rnacentral:lncRNA from 1 species